CAGGGAGGGACCCCCAUGCCCCCCCCCUCCACUCGCUGAGCGCAUGGGCUCCGGGGAGGUGGCAGAGGCAGCUGUGUGUUUCGGGACUGCAAAGCAGGAGGUGAGACUUGGACACGGAAUCGUUCAGGACCUGUCAGCUGCAGACCUGCCUGAGCUCAUUGUCAAACGUGAGGAAUGAAGGGUCUCUCUCAGGCAGGCGCCGUCAGGUGGAGAGAUCUUCCUGUGGCCUCCAGUGACCUUGGCAUGGCCAGCUCCCGUCGCUGCCUCAGUGGGGUGUGAGAAAUCAGACCUGAACACACUGCAGGAAGCAGGAAGGCCCUGGAGGAGGUGACUGAGGAGUGGAGGUUGAAAGCAGAAGUCGGCUGGGCCUGGGUGGUGGCAGAGGAGGCAAUGACAUGGUGAAAUUCAAGACACGCCUCCAAGGUGGACCCGGUGGAACCCUGGCAUUCGUUAGGGAGAAGAUGAGAGAAAAAGUGGUCAAAGGACUCUUGAGAGUCUGGUUGAACACCUCAUCUUUAGGACCGCGACCCCCUACCCUGAACUGCCCACACCCAGUGGGCCACCUGCCUCCCCUCCCUGGCUACCUUCAUCAGACACACUGUCUAGGUGUACCGUCCGUCUGUAGCACAGAGGGGGCAGCCCUGGCGAGAGCGACAGCUGCCAUCUCCUCCCACGCCCUUCCAUCUGACCUCAGAAUGGGGAGGCACAGAGACCGAAGAGGUCAGAGUAGGAAUUCUCUGGAUCCUGGGCUCUCAGGCCACCGAGCGCGACGCCCUCUGUUCGCUCCAUGACUUUGGGAAAGUUUGUCAAACAUUCCCUCCUCCAGGUCCCCACCUGCACAUGGGAAUCCUACUGACCGCUGAUUAUCAUGUGAUUCUUACUCUUUGCACCUUCUUAGCCCUUUCAGGGUUCACAGUCACACACUUCCUCCAGGGCUGAGUGAAGGGAUGGGUGGGCUGAGCACUUGGGACAGGCACAGAGGAGGCAUUUGAUAAAGGUUUGCGGUGAUGUUUGUUUUUCCUUA